GAUGAACGCUAGCGGCAGGCCUAAUACAUGCAAGUCGAACGGGUGGUCGCAAGACCACUAGUGGCGCACGGGUGCGUAACGCGUAACCAGCCUGCCCCGAUCUGGGGGAUAGCCCGCCGAAAGGCGGAUUAAUACCGCAUAUACCCGCAGCCUGGCAUCAGGCAACGGGGAAAGAUUUAUUGGAUCGGGAUGGGGUUGCGUGACAUUAGCUAGUUGGCGGGGUAAGGGCCCACCAAGGCGACGAUGUCUAGGGGACCUGAGAGGGUGAUCCCCCACACUGGCACUGAGAUACGGGCCAGACUCCUACGGGAGGCAGCAGUAGGGAAUAUUGGGCAAUGGGCGAGAGCCUGACCCAGCCAUGCCGCGUGCCGGAUGAAGGCCUUCUGGGUUGUAAACGGCUUUUCUCAGGGAAGAAAAAGACCUUGCGAGGUACACUGACGGUACCUGAGGAAUAAGCACCGGCUAACUCCGUG
rnacentral:rRNA from 1 species